GAUGAACGCUGGCGGCGUGCCUAAUACAUGCAAGUCGAGCGAACGGACGAGAAGCUUGCUUCUCUGAGGUUAGCGGCGGACGGGUGAGUAACACGUGGAUAACCUACCUAUAAGACUGGGAUAACUUCGGGAAACCGGAGCUAAUACCGGAUAAUAUUUUGAACCGCAUGGUUCAAAAGUGAAAGACGGUCUUGCUGUCACUUAUAGAUGGAUCCGCGCUGCAUUAGCUAGUUGGUAAGUUAACGGCUUACCAAGGCAACGAUGAAUAGCCGACCUGAGAGGGGGAUCGGCCACCCUGGAACUGAGACACGGUCCAGCCUCCUACGGGAGGCAGCAUUAGGGAAUCUUCCGCAAUGGGCGAAAGCCUGACGGAGCAACGCCGCGUGAGUGAUGAAGGUCUUCGGAUCGUAAAACUCGGUUAUUAGGGAAGAACAUAUGUGUAAGUAACUGUGCACAUCUUGACGGUACCUAAUCAGAAAGCCACGGCUAACUACGUG
rnacentral:rRNA from 1 species